UGGGGAAUUUUGGACAAUGGGCGCAAGCCUGAUCCAGCCAUGCCGCGUGAGUGAAGAAGGCCUUCGGGUUGUAAAGCUCUUUUACCAGGGACGAUAAUGACGGUACCUGGAGAAUAAGCCCCGGCAAACUUCGUGCCAGCAGCCGCGGUAAUACGAAGGGGGCUAGCGUUGUUCGGAAUUACUGGGCGUAAAGCGCACGUAGGCGGAUUGUUAAGUCAGAGGUGAAAUCCCGGAGCUCAACUUCGGAACUGCCUUUGAUACUGGCAAUCUAGAGUCCGGAAGAGGUUAGUGGAAUUCCCAGUGUAGAGGUGAAAUUCGUAGAUAUUAGGAAGAACACCAGUGGCGAAGGCGGCUCACUGGUCCGGUACUGACGCUGAGGUGCGAAAGCGUGGGGAGCAAACAGGAUUAGAUACCCAAGUAGUCCCUGAGCGGGCUGGCAAGGCGCAU
rnacentral:rRNA from 1 species